UUGCCCCACCCCGGAUCUCAGCCUCCAGUCCUCGCUGCUGCUGCUCCAGCGCCACGAAUUGCUCGCCUCGUCUCCCUCUCCCUUCGACCCCGCCUCGUCGUGGUCGUGGUGACCAAGGAACCCAAGCUCGGUGGUGGCGGAUCGGGGGCCGGCGACGGCGACGACCCGAGGGAAGAAGUCUCAGUCGCCACCCCUUCCUCGCAGCUCACGCCGCUGCACCUGGCCGCGAGCCCGCGACACUAG
rnacentral:misc_RNA from 1 species